GGCUAGUAGAUUAAAUUAAAAGGAGUUGGUAUAAGAAACUUUACUUUGUUUCUUUACUUGUUUUGACUUUGACAUUAAAAAAAAUAUAAAAAUAUAUGUAUAUAUAUAUAAGACCUAAAUAUUUAGUAUGAAGCCUUAAGAGAAGGUGGAAGCCUAAGGAUGAAAAUCUAAACUAAUAGGAGGCUAAUUGGGAGGGAUAAAAGAAAAGCAUGGUUGGAUGAAGGCAAGGAAUAGGGAACUUCAUCCCUAUUGGUCGAAUACCAUUCCCAAUGGACUUCAAGGAGGCUGUCCGAGGCCUUAUUAGGGAUUA
rnacentral:lncRNA from 1 species